GAGUUUGAUCAUGGCUCAGAUUGAACGCUGGCGGCAUGCCUUACACAUGCAAGUCGAACGGCAGCACGGGAGCAAUCCUGGUGGCGAGUGGCGAACGGGUGAGUAAUACAUCGGAACGUGCCCAAUCGUGGGGGAUAACGCAGCGAAAGCUGUGCUAAUACCGCAUACGAUCUACGGAUGAAAGCAGGGGAUCGCAAGACCUUGCGCGAAUGGAGCGGCCGAUGGCAGAUUAGGUAGUUGGUGGGGUAAAGGCUCACCAAGCCAACGAUCUGUAGCUGGUCUGAGAGGACGACCGGCCACACUGGGACUGAGACACGGCCCAGACUCCUACGGGAGGCAGCAGUGGGGAAUUUUGGACAAUGGGCGCAAGCCUGAUCCAGCCAUGCCGCGUGCAGGAUGAAGGCC
rnacentral:rRNA from 1 species